rnacentral:rRNA from 1 species
UACGGGGGGGGGCAAGCGUUGUUCGGAAUUACUGGGCGUAAAGGGCGCGUAGGCGGCCUGCUAAGUCGGACGUGAAAUCCCUCGGCUCAACCGAGGAACUGCGUCCGAUACUGGUGGGCUUGAAUCCGGGAGAGGGAUGUGGAAUUCCAGGUGUAGCGGUGAAAUGCGUAGAUAUCUGGAGGAACACCGGUGGCGAAGGCGGCAUCUGGACCGGUAUUGACGCUGAGGCGCGAAAAGCGUGGGGAGCAAACAGG